CAAUUCCUAUUUAUUGAAUCAAAUUGAAGUGUGCUCUUUGGUCCCCUCAAAACAAUUCACUAAAUCUUUAUUUUUCUCUUUAGUGACCUUCUUGUCAAAAUUGCUCACCCUUUCCAUCCUCUUUCCAGCCAAGUGUAUGCAUUCAUCCAAUUAUACCAAUGGACCUACGUCUUCCUGUGCUUUAGAAUGAAUCUCACUCCCUGGGUAGCAAAUAUUGAAGAAACCUUUAGAGAUUAUCUACCUUGGUGGAGAAAACAGGAGCACUCCUGUGGGAGACACAGAAGGAUGUUUUUAUGUAACCACUAUUGCUAGAGAUGGAAUCAAGCUUCUUGGAGAAGAAUACUCUGUUGGAUUGAUUUCUAGGUCUUUCAAAUUAUAGUGUCUGUGCUGAACCAUCUUAGGGAGUUAAGGAAGGAGUGGUGGUGGUGGUGGGGGAACUACCUUUGUCUUCAUUAGUCAUUGAAGUCCAAGGAAGUGGAUGUCAUUGUGUUCCUGAUACAUGAGCCCAACUUACAGCAAUUUUGAAGGUUUACUAUAUGACUAAAACUAUUUUAGUCAAUAAGAUUUGAACUCUUCACUUUUCUGAUUCAUUUCAGUGACAAUUUGAGCAUUUGUAUAUUUGGUAGACUAGAAGUUGUUUAAAAAAAUUUUUUUUUGCAUUUGGAAGGGAGUAUUCUUUGGUGAUAGAGUGAUAUGAAUGUCCUUAAAAAUCACAUUUCAUUGAAAUAGUAGGUCUUCUGUAUAUAUAAGUUAGGUGGUUCAGUUGAUAGUGUAUGAACUUGGAGUCAAAAAGACUCCUUUUCUUGAGUUCAAAUCAGGCCUUGGAUUCUUAGUAGCUCUGUGACCCUGUGCAAGUCUCUUAAACCAGUUUGCCUCAGGUAUUUCCUUAUGUGUAAAAGGAACUGGAGAAGAAAUGGCAAACCACUCCAAUAUCUUUUCCCAGAAAACACCAAAUGGGGACAAGAAGAGUUAGACAAGACUGAGAUAUAACUGAAAAUCAACCCAUAAAUUAAAAUAUAUUCAUUGAGAG
rnacentral:lncRNA from 1 species